UAAGAAUAUUCUGAUUAUUAUGUUAAUUUGAGCUGACUGAGGACAUGACGUUAGAUAGGAAGGUGUGGAGGUCGAGGAUUAAGGUAGAAGGUUAUUAGGUAGCUGAGUGUUGUAUUACUUGUAGUAUAAUUUAGGUAUUGCUUAGUUGACUACACUGGGUAUGUUGUUGUUAUGUUAAUUUGAGCUGACUGAGGACAUGAUGUUAGAUAGGAAGGUAUGGAGGUCGAGGAUUAGGGUUGAAGGUUAUUAGUAGCUGUGUGUUGUCCUACUUAUAUUAGUAUGAUUUAGGCAUUGGCGUAGUUGACUGCACUGGGUAUGUUGUUAUGUUAAUUUGAGCUGACUGAGGACAUGAUGUUAGAUAGGAAGGUAGGAAGGUCCAGGAUUAGGGUAGCAGGUUAUUAGGUAGCUGUGUGUUGUUGUACUUAUAGUAGUAUGAUUUAGGUAUCGCGUAGUUGACUACACUAGGUAUAUUGUUGUUAUGUUAAUUUGAGUUGACUGAGGACAUGAUAGUUAGAUAGGAAGGUAUGGAGGUCGAGGAUUAGGGUAGAAGGUUAUUAGGUAGCUGUGUGUUAUCGUACUUAUAGUAGUAUGAUUUAGGUAUUGGCGUAGUUGACUACACUGGGUGUGUUGUUGUUAUGUUAAUUUGAGCUGACUGAGGACAUGAUGUUGGAUAGGAAGGUAUGGAGGUCGAGGAUUAGGGUUGAAGGUUAUUAGGUACAUGUGUGUUGUCGUACUUAUAGUAGUAUGAUUUAGGUAUUGCGUAGUUGACUACACUGGGUGUUGUUGUUGUUAUGUUAAUUUGAGCUGACUGAGGACAUGGACAUGACCUUAGAUAGGAAGUUAUGGAGAUUGAGAAUUAAGGUAGAAGGUUAUUAGGUAGCUGUGUGUUGUCGUAUUUAUAGUAGUAUGAUUUAGGUAUCGCGUAGUCGAUUACACUGGGUAUGAUGUUGUUAUGUUAAUUUGCAUCAAGUUUAGGAUUUGAAGAGCUAAUUUUUUUAUUUGUGAUGGUUUGUUUUGUGAUUGUUUAUGCGCGUAAAUUGACUUGUGUACUUGUUCAGUUUCUUUUACUAUUAUUGUUUGUGGCAUUUUAUAAUUUUAGUAUUUCUUAUUAUUAGUUUGCUAUUACUACUUGUUGUCUCUUCUGCUUCUUGGUUGAUCAGUUUCUCCGUGAGGCUUUACAAAACCCUUGAGAGCGGCCCUCUGGGUAGUAUUCCCUUUUUUUUUUUUUAAACGGAUUACUAAGGACAUGACCUUUAGAUAGAUUAAGAAAGGAAUGGAGGUCGAGAAUUAGAGUAAAAGGUUAGUAGGAGUAUGAAUGUUGUCCCACUUUGUGUGGGAGAGUAAGGGGCUAGCCUUCUCCUCUCCUCUUUUCCUUUUUAGUAGUAUUAUUUAGUUAUCACUUAGUUUCUUUUUUUUAAAUGUGUAUUACUAUAUGUUGCGGCAUUUGUUUUAUAUAUCUUGAUAUUUUGCUAUCUUAUUUCUAUUAUAAUUCUGUGUCGGAUACUUUUCUUUUGAGCCAAGGGUCUAUCGGAAACAGCCGCUCUAUCUCACACAUGUAGGGGUAAGGUCUGCAUACAUCCUACCCUCCCCAGACCCCACUUGUGGGACUACACUGGGUUUUUUGUUGUUGUUUACCAUGUUGAUCUGCAUCAGGUUUAGUUUUUGUUAGUUGAUUUUCUUUGGUUCUGAUAUACCUUGAUUUGCUUUGUGAUUGUUUGAGCUCGUGAAUACUUGUGUACUUAUUUUCUUUUACUAUUAGCAUGCCUGUAGUUUUUCCUGUGCUGGUAUACUCGCUGUCACAUUGCCGUUAGUUGUCCAAUCAGUUAAUAACAUUUUUUAUCAAGAUGGAGGAAAUGGGAGGGUAAACACUUAGGUGUUUACACUUACAAAUGGUGUAUAUACCCUUUUACAGACACCAUGUGUGUGUGUUACCCAUGUUUAAAUAUGUGGAGAAAAAGCUGGGUAAAACUUAGGAACUUCCUAUGGAAAGGGCACUGGGACAAAAAGCCAUCCAUUUGGCGAAAUGAAUCAAAUCGUCAAUGAUGAGGAGGGAGGCGUCGGAGUCAGCAAUCUGCAUAACUGGAUUAAGAGCUUACUUCUCCAAUGGCUAUGGAGGUUCUGUCAGCAGGGUUAUGCUAUAUGGAAUCUGCAGUUCAGAGCACAAUAUGGUGCAAGGCCACUGUCCUGCAGCUAAACCUGUAGUGCUUGGAGGAUGGAAGCAUAAUAAAGGCUUUGGGGGAUCUUUUAGAGAAAAUAUUGUAAAACCCAGGGACGGUAGAUAAAUCCUAUUCAGGUAGAUUCUCGGUUAGGACAUCAUGCCUCACUAAAACUCUAGAAGACCACCCUGAGAUGGUCAGCUUUGCUAGAGAUACUUAGGCCACAAUUGCAGACUUUAGAUCUAAUCAAGGUUGGAAUAUGACCUUCAGAAGGAACUGCGGUAAUUGGGAUUUGGGAAGGACUCUAUUGCUGCAGUUGUUUUCUUGGACAAGUCUACUGCUGCAGUUGUUACAGUCAACCCCUGAACUUAACACAAACUGCAGACUUUUGGCUGGAAGGGACAGACUACAGAGAAGGGGUAGUUCACAAUGAAAUCCUGCUACGAAAUGGCUGUCAUCUCAGAGUAUCUCCACCUUGCUAUCCCCAGAAAAGAAAUGGGAAAUCUCAAGCUUUAUUUAAGGUUGCAGGUGGCUUCUUCAAGGCUUAUAAAAUCCCAAACAACUUGCAGGACGACUCUCUAUUAGCAGCAGAUGCCCUUUAUAUGAAGAAGAAUCUGAGGAUGUAAAUUGUCUCUUUUUGCUUUAUGCUUUCAGCCAGAAGAUUUGGAAUACAUCUUUGACAUUUUUUGAGCUAAAAUAGACGAUGCCAAAGACUCCCACUUAGUUGCUGCAAUGCUGGAUCAGAAGGCUUUAGAAAGGAGCAAAACUAUAGUGCAACACCAUCUCCUCUUGCAGCUGGUGGGUGGGUAGUCUGUAGGGAAAGGAAUUCUGGAAUGUUACUAAAACAGAAAGUCAGAAAUACAAAUGUGAUUUUUGCUAGAUUUUUGGUGUUGAAUGAUGUGCACGUAUUAGGAGGCUCUUAAACUUCCACGAUUCCCUGAGGAGCUGAGAUUUUACAUCAACGGCCGUGUGCAACCCCAGCACUCUUUGGGCUGAUGGACAUCGAAAUGCAGAAAGAGAAGAGAAGAUAAAACCAUUUUAGGUAAUCUAAAAGCAGAGGAGAGCAAGUUUUUGAAGGAAUUUUUUCCCUUUUUGGCUAUAGUGAAGGAUAACUUGAAUCGUUCCACCUUACUAAAAAAAGAAGAGAAACUUGAACCUUUUCAAUCAGAAACACCAUGUUCUUUGUUAUAUAUUCUCGGUUAUGUAUGUAGUCUUUAGCUGUUAUGUUGAGGUAGGCUCUUGGUCAUUGCAUACCAGUUGUAUGAUGCACUUAUGUAAAAUAUUAAUUGUGUAAUGCUUUAUUUUCUUUUAGGUUCUUUUUCUAGUUUUAGAUCUGAAGGUGCAUUAUGUUUUCAACAAUGUUGCUUCAUCCCGUGUUUCCAUUUUGAGAUUUCUAGGUUCUCCUUAAAUAUGUCACUGUAUGCUUUAUAUUCUCUUUUCCUUCUUUUCCCUUGUUUUUUUGGGGUGGGGGGUGGGGGGGGUUUCUUUGUUAGUUGGAUUGAUUUUCUUUAUCAUGCACAUAGUGACUUG